rnacentral:rRNA from 1 species
UACGUAGGGGGCAAGCGUUGUCCGGAUUUAUUGGGCGUAAAGAGCGUGUAGGCGGCCAGGUAGGUCUGCUGUGAAAACUCGAGGCUUAACCUCGAGAUGUCGGCGGAAACCAUCUGGCUAGAGUCCGGAAGAGGAGAGUGGAAUUCCUGGUGUAGGGGUGAAAUGCGUAGAUAUCGAGAGGAACACCUGCGGCGAAGGCGGGUUGCUGGGCUGACACUGACGCUGAGGCGCGAAAGCUAGGGGAGCGAACGGG